GUCCCCCAGGAUCGAGUGUGAGAACCACUGCGUUAGAGGGCCAUGUUCCCCCAAGGCCAAAUAAUCAGUGCCCCUAGGCAGUGACAGGAACGCCGUGCUGUAGGCGACGCUGUCUUUGGGAAGAGACGUAAAACCGAGUUCCUGACUCACCGUGCUCUCUCAACCUGCCACCACAUCACCCCCUGAUUUAAUAGGCUAAAAAAACUGUUAUCUCCCUCUCCGCCUCAGCUGAUGUGUGGUGAGCGUUAGCCUACGACGCAAAUUGGCUGCCGUGCGUCACCCAGGUGGGUGAUACACAUCGAUCGUGGUUAUGGCAUAUUUGCAGACCCACAGGCCAGCUGAACAGGAAGCACGUUUGGUCUAAGCUGAAGCCACGUGGCGGAGCACCGUUAUGAAUAACAGCGUGUGCCGGAAAGCCUCGUCACAAAGGCCAAACGGUACGAGGGUGAAUGCGUUUCCGCACUGUCGCUUUCUACACUCGCUGUUUGGCGAUCAAAGGGGAGCGGAGGAAACGAAGCCCAGCUGAUGAUUAAUCCGCCCAGCGCGGUCCUCCAGAGAACAGAGCAGAUAAAAGGACAAGGUGUCUCCAGCCAAACUGCAGACAAAAAAUGGGCCAGCUCUCCAAAAAAGAAUAAAUAUAUAAAUGAAUAAGUAAAUAAAUAGAAAACAAUUCUGGGGAAACAGUCUGGUGACAGUGGAUGGAAAGCUGACGGGAGAGAGUCCUGAAAGCUAACCAUAGCCAUAGAGCCAUUGAUCUGGAAUAUAUGGGGUAUAAUGACCUGGAAUUAAAAUGGCCUCUUCUGAUUUGUAUUUCUAACAGCGUGAGCAAUGAUAG